GACGUAGGGCGCGAGCGUUGUUCGGAAUUACUGGGCGUAAAGGGCUCGUAGGCGGCCAACUAAGUCAGACGUGAAAUCCCUCGGCUUAACCGGGGAACUGCAUCUGAUACUGGAUGGCUCGAGUUUGGGAGAGGGAUGCGGAAUUCCAGGUGUAGCGGUGAAAUGCGUAGAUAUCUGGAGGAACACCGGUGGCGAAGGCGACAUCCUGGACCAACACUGACGCUGAGGAGCGAAAGCGUGGGGAGCGAACAGG
rnacentral:rRNA from 1 species